GACGAACGCUGGCGGCGUGCUUAACACAUGCAAGUCGAACGGAAAGGCCCUGCUUUUGUGGGGUGCUCGAGUGGCGAACGGGUGAGUAACACGUGAGUAACCUGCCCUUGACUUUGGGAUAACUUCAGGAAACUGGGGCUAAUACCGGAUAGGAGCUCCUGCUGCAUGGUGGGGGUUGGAAAGUUUCGGCGGUUGGGGAUGGACUCGCAGCUUAUCAGCUUGUUUGUGGGGUAGGUGCUUACCAAGGCUUUGACGGGUAGCCGGCCUGAGCGGGUGACCGGCCACAUUGGGCCUGAGAUACGGCGCAGACUCCUACGGGAGGCAGCAGUGGGGAAUAUUGCACAAUGGGCGGAAGCCUGAUGCAGCAACGCCGCGUGCGGGAUGACGGCCUUCGGGUUGUAAACCGCUUUCGCCUGUGACGAAGAGUGAGUGACGGUAAUGGGUAAAGAAGCACCGGCUAACUACGUG
rnacentral:rRNA from 1 species